AUUGUGCAGUUGCACAGUGAAAAGCUGUGUAAAUGUCUGUUAGGUCCAUUCUGUAUAGAGUACAGUUUAACUGAUGAUGUUUUGUUGCCUGGAUGAUCUGUCCGUUCGCGAUAGUGGGGUGUUGAUUACGGUGGAGUGUUGAGUCCUUUAGGUUGUUUGAGGGACAUUCAUCAAGGAAACCGGAUAAACUUAAAACGCUCUUCCACUUCUUUGGAACAGUCACAGAGAAAAGUGAACUCCUUUCAUUCUUGCAGUAAUUUUUCUUGCUGAUGGGAACAGUUCAAGUCAAGUGACAUAACCUACUGGGUUGGUGACAUUUACAAGACAGAGUCUUGAGGAUUUUCCAGAACGGGAAAGGGAUCAUGGCACAAGCUGCAGUUUCCACCCUGCCCAUUGAAGAUGAGGAGUCCAUGGAAGAUGAGGAGUCCGUUGAAGAUGAGUCUGUUGAAGAUGAGUCCGCAGAGAGCAGGAUGGUGGUGACAUUGCUCAUAUCAGCUCUUGAGUCCAUGGAUCAUGGCACAAGUUGCAGUUUCCACUCUGCCCAUUGAAGAUGAGGAGUCUGCUGAAGAUGAGGAGACAUUGGAGAGCAGGAUGGUGGUGACAUUCCUAAUGUCAGCUCUUGAGUCCACGAGUCUCUGUUUCACCCAAUCUGGAGUGCAAUGAUGCAGUCGUAGCUAACUGCAGCCUCAACCACCUGGGCUCAAGCAAUUCUCCCGCCUCAGCCUUCCAAGCAUCUGGGACUACAGGUGCACACCAUCCAUGCCCAGCUGAUUUUUGUAUUUUUUUUGUAGAGAUGGGAUCUUGUUAUAUUGCCGAGGCUGGUCUUGAACUCUGGGGCUAAAGGAAUCCUUUCACCAUAGCCUCUCAAGUAGCUGAAACUACAGAUGCAUACCACCAUGCCCAGCUAAUUUUCUCUUAUUUCUUUUUGUUGUUUAAUUGAGGGGGGGGGUCUCACUGUGUUUCCCAGGCUGGUCCUGAACUUCUGGCCUCAAGCAUUUCUCCUGCUUUGACCUCCUAAACUGUUGGGAUUAUGGUUGUGAGCCCCGGCCUCUGUGUCCAGCAAUCACAAGAGGUCUUUAUAAGUGAAAGAGGGAGGUAAGAGAGUCAGAAUUGAAGAUUUGAUGAUGUAAGCACAGGUAACAGAGGGAGAUUUGAAUAUGCUUUGCUUCUGGCUUUGGAGAUGCAGUUAGGGGCCAUGAGCCAAAGAAUAGGGGUGGCUUUCGGAACUGGGAAAGGCAAGGGAACACGUUCUCUCUGGAACCUCCAGAAGGGAUGCAGUCCUGCUGACACCUUGACUUUAGCCUUAAUAGACCUAUUUUGGACUUCUGGCCCCCAGACCUGUUAGGUAGUAGAUUUGUGGUGUAUUAAGCCACUCAAUGUAGGGUAGUUUGUAACAGCAGCAAGAAGAAAUGAACAUGAAGCCAGGGGUAGUGGCCCACACCUAUAAUUCCAGCUAUUUAGGAGGCUGAGGCAGGAUGGUUGCUUUGGCCCAGGAGUUCAAGAUAAGCCUGGGCAACAAAGUGAUACCCUGUCUACGUGGGAAAAAAAAA
rnacentral:lncRNA from 1 species